UGGGGGUGCUCUGAUUCUCAGGCCCCGGCUUGCUCACCACCCAACUCAUACCCGCCUCAUCGGCUGUUCACACGUGCACUUCCUGAACUACCACAUUCUACAGUGAUAAUAAUGACUGAGUUCUGUCUUAUUCGGUAAAGCUCUUGGGUACAGUGGUGAUCAUGUUACACACAUAUCAAGUGGUGUGGGAAAAAAGCAUCCAGAAGGCAAUUUCAAGCAUGCAAAAUGGGAUCACUGACAUGGAAAAUCAGUGACAUCUGAUUCCCAUUGUGCCAGCCUUCUGUAAAUAUCUGAUUAAUUAGUGCUGCAGAGAUCUAGGGGAGGCCUUUAUCUGAAGAGCAGUUCAACCAUUAGCAAAGGAAACUUCCUUGUGCACCAGCGGCUCAGAUAACAAGUUGGCUACCUUGUUGCCCCAGGGCACCUGUCUUGGGGAUAACCAAGAAUGUGGAUGGUGAUGGCCAUGGUGCAAGACUCAGCUUCAGUGGGGGCUGCUCCCAGGAUGUCGGGCUCACGGACCCCUCUCAUUGAUGCCAGUCUCAGGUGGCUCUAUCCCUGGAAGAACAUUCAGGUCAUUUUUGCAUCAUUUGAUCCUUGAAACUAUACUAAGAAGGGGUCAGAGUGAUAUCACCGUUUUCUCAAAUGUGAGAAUGAACACUGGCAAGAUAAAGUGACUUAUUCAAACGUACCCAGAGAGCUGAUGAGAAAGUCAAGCCUAGGAAGCAUACACACUAAAUAAUGUCACUGGAGACAAGACGUAGCCCCAUUUUCCAUCUUGUAGUCCCAGUCUCAACCUCUGGUUUAUUCUCCUGAGAAUCAAUAAUGAUACAGAAGCAGAGCUGGGGAGUGGAACUGAAAUUUCUCAAUUUGGGACACAAUCUUGCUCUCAGUUAUUGAUACAGAAGUUGACACAUAAAAAGUGAAGGGUAAUUCAAACCAACAUUAUCAUAUCUGCUAAAACUUCUAAGUGUCCAAUUCUUGAUUGUGAAAAUCAUGUAUUUGCACCAGUCCAUAGACUCACCAAAAUGGCCCCUCCACUGAUAAACAAAAAAAUAAAUAAAAAGUGCAGGUAGGCGGUGUCAUUGUAUUCUCACAUGCAUACACCUGAGUGAAGCUCAGAGAGAUAAAUUACUGGUUAU
rnacentral:lncRNA from 10 species